UACAGAGGGUGCAAGCGUUAAUCGGAUUUACUGGGCGUAAAGCGUGCGUAGGCGGUUCAUUAAGUCGGUUGUGAAAUCCCUGGGCUUAACCUGGGAACUGCAGUCGAUACUGGUGAACUAGAGUGCGGUAGAGGGUGGCGGAACUCCGGGUGUAGCGGUGAAAUGCGUAGAUAUCCGGAGGAACACCGGUGGCGAAGGCGGCUCCUGGACCGACACUGACGCUGAGGCGCGAAAGCUAGGGGAGCAAACGGG
rnacentral:rRNA from 1 species